AGCCCAGCCCUGACCCUGCAGCUCUGGGACAGGAUCCCAGCCCAGGAUUCCCAGGUGUUCAUAGUCCCUGCUCAGGACAGAGUACAGACCACUCACCAUGGAGUUUGGGCUCAGCUGGAUUUUCCUUGUUGCUAUUUUAAGAGGUGUCCAGUGUGAUGUGCAGCUGGUGGAGUCUGGGGGAGGCUUUGUGAAGACUGGGGGUUCUCUCAAACUCUCUUGCCUGGCCUCUGGACUCACCUUCACUAACUAUGAUAUGGACUGGGUCCACCAGGGUCCAGGGAAGGGGCUAGAAUGGGUCUCAUACAUUAGGUAUGAUAGUGGUAGCACAUACUAUGCCAACUCUGUGAAAGGCCGAUUCACCAUCUCCAGAGAUGAUGGCAAGAACACGGUCUACCUGCAAAUGAACAACCUGAGAGCUGAGGACACAGCCGUGUAUUAAUUACUGUGCGAGUGGCACAGU